rnacentral:rRNA from 1 species
GAUGAACGCUGGCGGCGUGCCUAAUACAUGCGAGUCGAGCGAACAGACGAGGAGCUUGCUCCUCUGACGUUAGCGGCGGACGGGUGAGUAACACGUGGAUAACCUACCUAUAAGACUGGGAUAACUUCGGGAAACCGGAGCUAAUACCGGAUAAUAUAUUGAACCGCAUGGUUCAAUAGUGAAAGACGGUUUUGCUGUCACUUAUAGAUGGAUCCGCGCCGCAUUAGCUAGUUGGUAAGGUAACGCCUUACCAAGGCAACGAUGCGUAGCCGACCUGAGAGGGUGAUCGGCCACACUGGAACUGAGACACGGUCCAGACUCCUACGGGAGGCAGCAGUAGGGAAUCUUCCGCAAUGGGCGAAAGCUUGACGGAGCAACGCCGCGUGAGUGAUGAAGGUCUUCGGAUCGUAAAACUCUGUUAUUAGGGAAGAACAAAUGUGUAAGUAACUAUGCACGUCUUGACGGUACCUAAUCAGAAAGCCACGGCUAACUACGUG